GGCGAUUUCUCUGAGAAACGGUUGCGUUGACAGUGGGAGGCAAGGCUGAGGCGGAGGGACACGGAGUCGGGAUCCUGGAGAACUGAAAUGGCGCGUUGGUUACUCUUGAGGGAGUAAAUCAGCUCACUGAGUCAUCAUUCCACCACAAAAACCUGUAAAAAGCCUGUGCUGUGGAAAAGGGCUCACUUCAGAAUCAAGGGCCUGGGUCCACCUCGCCAUUUUUCUGAAGGUUGGAGGCUCUGUCCAGGGACAGCGGAAAUUCGAGGUUCUUGGCGGAGGAGGAGCAUUUGCCAAUUGGGGCGGGCUUUUGCCCCUACCUUGAGACCUUAGUGCUGUAGAUGAGCCAGGAAAGGUAUUUGAGGGGAGAGUCUAGGUUUCUGGGAAUGGAGAGAGUAGGACAUUGUGUGUUUCCACGCACAUCGUUUGGGGGAGAAGGGGUUCCCCGUCGCUUUGUGCAACAUAUUAGUAGGGUGUAGUAGGGGUAGCAACCAAGAGACCCAAAACAGUCCUGCUUAAGAAGAAGCCGCUUAACGGUGGAUUGGGGAAAAAUACUCUAGUGCGCUGCAUUUUGAACAGGAAGGAGGUUUAACGAAAGUGCUAUAAAACCUUUCUGAAGAACGGGGCUUCAUAAUAAGCACUAAGGUAUUUAGUGUCUGUGUUGUGCAGGACAGGUAGUGGGAGCUACGAAACCUGGACCCUAGCUCAAAUGCCAUUAAAAAGGGAAAUUGGGCGGGGCGCCCGUGGCUCACGCCUAUAAUCCCAGUACUUUGGGAAGUUCGGU
rnacentral:lncRNA from 10 species